UACGUAGGGUGCAAGCGUUAAUCGGAAUUACUGGGCGUAAAGCGUGCGUAGGCGGUUAUGUAAGUCAGGUGUGAAAUCCCAGGGCUUAACCUUGGAACUGCAUUUGUGACUGCAUAGCUAGAGUACGGUAGAGGGGGAUGGAAUUCCGCGUGUAGCAGUGAAAUGCGUAGAUAUGUGGAGGAACACCGAUGGCGAAGGCAGCCCCCUGGGUCAAGACUGACGCUCAUGCACGAAAGCGUGGGGAGCAAACAGG
rnacentral:rRNA from 1 species